rnacentral:lncRNA from 10 species
ACUCUUCGGUGACUGGCAAUGCUUCCUGAAUGAAAGAAACAUCUACUUGACCUCCUCACAGUCUCCCUUUCUAUAGUGCAAGCUCGACUAGACAGUUUUGACAAUAGUGAUAUUAAGGCUCUGCUUGGUGCCAUGCAAUCUGCAUUUGGGGUGCCAGCUAGCCACAGGACUCAUCUGGAAAAAAACAACGGCCCAACCCUGAGAACUUUGGGAUUCACGGGAAAUUACAGUUCCCCUGAUGAUGCAGGACCGGACCAGGAUUUCACUCAUCAACUGGCCUAGAUUAAGGAGAAAGAAAUCUACAUUUCUGAACCUGGUAACGUCUGAGCAUACUCAUGGAAGAAAGAGCUGGCCUAUGAGCGGUGGAUAUUAUGGCUGGAGCUGCAGCAGCCAUCAUGCCAACAUGAGGGAAAAGCUGAUGGAAUUGUGGAGACUUUGGCCUUGUGAUUCAGCCCUGGAUGAGUUGUCU